UGGGGAAUAUUGCACAAUGGGCGCAAGCCUGAUGCAGCCAUGCCGCGUGUAUGAAGAAGGCCUUCGGGUUGUAAAGUACUUUCAGCGGGGAGGAAGGGAGUAAAGUUAAUACCUUUGCUCAUUGACGUUACCCGCAGAAGAAGCACCGGCUAACUCCGUGCCAGCAGCCGCGGUAAUACGGAGGGUGCAAGCGUUAAUCGGAAUUACUGGGCGUAAAGCGCACGCAGGCGGUUUGUUAAGUCAGAUGUGAAAUCCCCGGGCUUAACCCGGGAAUUGCAUCUGAUACUGGUCAGCUAGAGUCUUGUAGAAGGGGGUAGAAUUCCAUGUGUAGCGGUGAAAUGCGGAGAGAUGUGGAGGAAUACCGGUGGCGAAGGCGGCCCCCUGGACAAAGACUGACGCUCAGGUGCGAAAGCGUGGGGAGCAAACAGG
rnacentral:rRNA from 1 species